AGCAUUUCCGGACGAGCCCGUUGGUCACCAUCCUAACAACAUCGCAGGUCACCACCAUGAAGACUUCGGCGCCGCCGGCCCGGUGGUGGUGAUGCUGGGCUGCUUGUUCCUCAUGUUCCUCGCCGUCGGAAUCCCCACCUUCAUCCAGAAGAAGCGUCGAGAGGCGAGGGAGCGUCGCGAGGCCAUCCGCCGACUGCAAGCCGCCGAGCACAGAGAUGUCGCCGAAGGACUCUCGUUCCAAGUGCCAUCCAUGGAUAGCUGAGCGAUGCCGCUGUGUCCUUUUCAGCUGUGCCUCGAGGUUUGCUAAAUACAUUGUUUGAGUGCUCAU